rnacentral:rRNA from 1 species
UACGUAGGGGGCAAGCGUUGUCCGGAUUUAUUGGGCGUAAAGAGCGUGUAGGCGGCCUGACAGGUCUGCUGUGAAAACUCGAGGCUCAACCUCGAGAUGUCGGCGGAAACCGUCUGGCUAGAGUCCGGAAGAGGAGAGUGGAAUUCCUGGUGUAGCGGUGAAAUGCGCAGAUAUCAGGAAGAACACCUAUGGCGAAGGCGGUUCUCUGGGACGGUACUGACGCUGAGACGCGAAAGCGUGGGGAGCGAACAGG